GACGAACGCUGGCGGCGUGCGUAACACAUGCAAGUCGAACGAGAGAGUGAGAGAAGCUUGCUUUUCUUACAAUCGAGUGGCAAACGGGUGAGUAACGCGUAAACAACCUGCCCCGCAGAUGGGGACAACAGCUGGAAACGGCUGCUAAUACCGAAUACGGUCCUCUUAGCGCAUGGUAAGAGGAAGAAAGGGUGGCCUCUGGAACAAGCUACCGCUGCGGGAGGGGUUUGCGUCUGAUUAGCUGGUUGGAGGGGUAACGGCCCACCAAGGCGACGAUCAGUAGCCGGUCUGAGAGGAUGAACGGCCACAUUGGAACUGAGACACGGUCCAGACUCCUACGGGAGGCAGCAGUGGGGAAUCUUCCGCAAUGGGCGAAAGCCUGACGGAGCAACGCCGCGUGAGUGAAGACGGCCUUCGGGUUGUAAAGCUCUGUUAUAGGGGACGAACGGCCGGGUAGCGAAAGA
rnacentral:rRNA from 1 species